CUCAUAGAUUCCAUAUCUCCUGUGUAUUGGAACUUAAUGUAAGUCGUGCCCUUUUCCUUUACCCCUUAGCCACAGCUCAUGGUUUUAGGCAAGAGAAUUUAGGAAGAUGACCUAGGCCCAGGCAAACAGUAGGACUUGAACUCCCAUGUGCUGCUCACUGGUUAGGUGACUUGGGGCAGGCCAUUCUUCUCUCUGGGUCCCUUAUCCCUGUCACUGGUCAAGCCAAGAUAAUAAGCCAGGAGUGUUGUGUCUGAGCUUCUAAGGGAGAGGAGAGAGGGAGAGAAGAAAGAGGGAGAGGAAGGGAAGAGAAAACCCACCUACUUGCAUGGUGUGUCUGAAAGCUAGCUGAUUAAGGCUUCCAAGAGGGUGAGAUUAGAGGGCAGGAUGAAGCCUCAGUUUUCUCCUGUAACAGCUGUAUGUCUCAAGGCAAGUCCACCCAUCUCUCUGAGCCACGCCUCAUUCUCCCAAUCAGAAACGGAGGGUAAUCAUUCCUGUUUCAGGGGUUAGGAGGAUUAAAUGGGAUUGCGGGCAUAAAAUAUAAGGAGCACAAUUAAUCCUCUCUCCUUGCCUGUUGCUAGGCUCGCGUGUGAGACAGAAAAGUUUCGUGAGUCAGCAAAUGAGUGACCUGGAAGGAGGCACGGUCCAUCAAUCGUGAUGCAAUUGGAACGAGCACGGUUGAUGCAGACAGUGGUAGGAGGCUUACGGAGGUCAUGCUUGCCCACAGUCCCAAGGACCUUUGGGCAGCACAAGAAAGCUUUGCCCAAGUUGUCACACAGGUCUUCCCCGAAAGUCACACACCUCAGCAGUGACAACGAGGACAUCUCAAAAGCACCGGAUCCGGUCCCUUCCUCUGAAUUCAGAAGACGAAUACAUCACCUUCAUGGUGACUGAGUGCUUGGUUUUCACAAGAAGGAUGCAGAAUGUGGCUGGAAAUACCAUCAUUGUGCCCUCUCUCAUUUCCAGAGAAAUCCGACGGCCUGCCUUUCACUCCCUGAGUUUGUUUCUGGGUUUAAGAUUCUAAUUUAUUGGAAGGUAGACAUUAAUUAAAUAAUAGCCCUGUCGGUCCUAGGAUAACAGGGUCAACAAAUAUGAUUGUCUUGAGACAAGGGAACGGCUGUGCAGAUGCCUGAAAUGUGGUAAUACUGAUUUACAGCAUUGGAGGAGGGCAGGUCUGGUUGGAAUCUUGCCCUGCCUCUACCUGGAUGGAUGGCCCUGGGCAAGUUCUGUCCUGUCUUCAGAGCCUGGAUCCUUUAUCUCUAACCCGUGGUGAUUGCUCCUACCUCCCAGGUUUACAGGAAGAGUUUUCAAUAGAGAUAAUAGAGGAUG